UCUUCUCGAAGGGUAUAGCAACAAUUAAAUCUUAUCACUCACAAAAGCACGCAAUGGCCAAGACAUUGUCCAUACGCAACGUUGACUGCCUCGGAUCAACAGUUGAGAACCAAGCAUAUGGCGGCUGUUUCAAGGACAUUCGAAAGGCUCUGCAUCCCUAAUGGAAUCCAUAACCGAUAGGAAUUUUAAUAUCAGACACGUGUCAAUGGGAGACAUGAGUGUUUCCUGCGUGACAGACACCAGUGGGCACACAAAUAGACACACACUCUUACACAGAUCGACGUUCAUUUCGCUCAUCUAUUUGUCAAAUACUCAUGAUUUUCCAUCCCAUUUCCCUUUGACGUUUCAAGAGGCAUUUUCAAUUCCUGUUUGCAUACAGGAAAAUGGUUGGAGGCACAGCUGUUGUUGACCACUUCCGUUGAGGGUGUCGCCAAGGGGGGUGGCUGGGCUUACGUCCAGGUUGACACUCCUGCCACCACGCCCACAUUCCACCACGCAAAAGCGGAAAUGUUCUCCCUGGCAGCCCCUGGCGUCUCAUGCGUCUGAGCAAUUGUUACCUUUUUCCGUGCGCCCAAGUGCGUUGAACUUGGCCCAUUUUAUGGCAUAAGUUUGAGUGAAAAUUCAGCAAUUGAGGCAACUCAGAAAUUUGUUUUCGCCAUUGGGGGACACGUCUGCGCCCAUUUCUCUUUCGGUGGUUGGGUGGGGCGUCGUCGUCCCUCUGGGGAGGCGUCAAACAAAGUGCGAGCGUUAAUCUUCUAGCCGCUUAUGAUGCUUAUGGCAUUUGUAGACACAGCGGGCACUGUGGAAUAUAUCCUGCUGAAUUUGCAAGCAUACAUUUUAAGGAAGAAGGCCUGCCCGAGUGUAGGUAAGAGACAAGCCUACAUCGAAUAGAAAUGGAAAAAAUAUUCACCACAUUCGAUUAAAAAUAUUCUACCGACUAGUGCGACGGUCGGAACAGCAAGGGCUUGUUGUUCAGCGAGUUAGGAAUGGCCUCAAUCAUGGCCUGGAUAUUCCGCAGAUCUCCGCAUGUAUAAAGCCGGACGGACUCCUAAAGGUUGUGCUCCACUGUCUUACAAACGUCACUCAAGCUGCUCCACUACCUCUUCCAAGGUCAGUUUUGUUGAGGUCCAGAAGAGCUUGAGCCACUAGUUGACCAUUUUCAUAGACUUAUAAGUAAAAUUGUCUGUAAAAUAAACUAAAAUAAAACAUA